UACGUAGGGUGCGAGCGUUAAUCGGAAUUACUGGGCGUAAAGUGUGCGCAGGCGGCUUCGCAAGUCGAGUGUGAAAUCCCCGAGCUUAACUUGGGAAUUGCGCUCGAAACUACGGAGCUGGAGUGUGGCAGAGGAAGGUGGAAUUCCACGUGUAGCGGUGAAAUGCGUAGAGAUGUGGAGGAACACCGAUGGCGAAGGCAGCCUGCUGGGCCAACACUGACGCUCAUGCACGAAAGCGUGGGGAGCAAACAGG
rnacentral:rRNA from 1 species